UACGGAGGGCGCGAGCGUUGUCCGGAAUCACUGGGCGUAAAGGGCGCGUAGGCGGCCCUGGUAAGUCUGCGGUGAAAGCCCGGGGCUCAACCCCGGGUCGGCCGCGGGUACUGCCGGGCUGGAGUGCCGUAGGGGCAGGCGGAAUUCCGGGUGUAGCGGUGGAAUGCGUAGAGAUCGGGAGGAACACCAGUGGCGAAGGCGACUCUCUGGCCUGUAACUGACACUGAGGCGCGAAAGCGUGGGGAGCGAACAGG
rnacentral:rRNA from 1 species